rnacentral:rRNA from 1 species
GGGCGUAAGGGCUCGCAGGCGGUUUCUUAAGUCUGAUGUGAAAGCCCUCGGCUCAACCGGGGAGGGUCAUUGGAAACUGGGGAACUUGAGUGCAGAAGAGGAGAGUGGAAUUCCACGUGUAGCGGUGAAAUGCGUAGAGAUGUGGAGGAACACCAGUGGCGAAGGCGACUCUCUGGUCUGUAACUGACGCUGAGGAGCGAAAGCGUGGGGAGCGAACAGGAUUAGAUACCCUGGUAGUCCACGCCGUAAACGAUGAGUGCUAAGUGUUAUGGGGUUUCCGCCCCUUAUUGCUGCU